rnacentral:rRNA from 1 species
AUUGAACGCUGGCGGCAGGCCUAACACAUGCAAGUAGGACGAGUUGCGAACGGGUGAGUAACGCGUGGUAACCUACCUAUUAGAGGGGGAUAACUAUUGGAAACGAUAGCUAAUACCGCAUACCAUCGGAUGUGCCCAGAUGGGAUUAGCUAGUAGGUGGGGUAACGGCUCACCUAGGCGACGCUCCCUAGCUGGUCUGAGAGGAUGACCAGCCACACUGGAACUGAGACACGGUCCAGACUCCUACGGGAGGCAGCAGUGGGGAAUAUUGCACAAUGGGCGCAAGCCUGAUGCAGCCAUGCCGCGUGUAUGAAGAAGGCCUUCGGGUUGUAAAGUACUUUCAGCGAGGAGGCGUUACUCGCAGAAGAAGCACCGGCUAACUCCGUGCCAGCAGCCGCGGUAAUUC